UGGAUGGGAAAAGGGGAAAAUGGGAGAAAGGAGAACCUAGAUCAUUUGGAAUAAAUAAUCCAAAUCUGGGAUAGUGGAAGGAAAAUCAAACAAAGAAAAACACACUGUGAAACCCCCAAACCAACUACACAAAGUUUUUUUUUAAAAAUACAGCAAAAAGAUGAAGGAAAGAAACAAACCCCCUAAACUUCCCCCCAAAUCAACUCGUUCAGGUGCUUGAACAAGAUGAGAGAGCAGCAUAAAAGCAGGUAUUUUAUAGAAAUGAUGUAUCCAAGAAUGAACAAGAAAGAAGAAGAAAAUGCUUUAAACUUUGAGCAGAUUAAUUUUUUUAGAAACCUGAGCAUGUUUCUCCACCAGUGCAGAACUAGUGAGGAUCUUCAGGCAGAACACUGUGGGCAAAUAUGCAGGCAGCAUUCUUCAGUGCAGUGAAAAUGGAGUACAGAGAGUAUUAAAAUGUUUAACACAAUCAUUUCCAGGGAUUUAUAUAGCAUUUAGUCUUUUAUGAAAUGACAGACUGAUAAAACUACUUCUGACAAGAGUGCUCAAUGUACAUUGGCAACUCUUGGGUAUGUAGUUGCAAGGGUGCGAUGCUGCUUAUUCUUGGGGAAAAAAAUCUGUUUGACUUGGAGGGAAUAGGAUUACAUUUCCAGAGAGCAAAGAGCAGCUGGUGUGUGCUAAAUGAAUCUGCAACACAGCAUCAUGGUGAAAGAAAAUAGUUCAUAGAGCAUCAAAGAACAUCACAGUCAUUGUUCAAGUUUUAUUUGUUCCUACAUCAGUUUUCAGUAGAGAAACUUUCAAUUCCCUCUGCUCUGAAUGCCCUGUUAACUUUCUGCAAGUCUUGUGAGUAAAUAAAGCUUGUUUGCCUCGCAGCUUCUGUGCAAAGGAAGUUUUCAUCCUGGUUUAAGGCCAAAUGCUAUCAGGUGAGGAGCAGCCUCCAGCUUUUUACAGGUGAGAGCGUGCCUGCUCAGGCAUGCAGAAGCCUUCAAGUCAAAACCCACAGUGCUUGAUAUCUCACUGCUGUUAGUGCUGAAGGAGAACUGAAGGGAGUAAAUAAAGUCUCUGCAGAAGAGCCUUCCAGGAGUACCCAGCUGACCACCCUGAUCCUGCUUUCCAGAGCAGAACUUACUCCUUGAGCAGUGAUGCCCCAAUGUCCUACCUGCACCUACUCUUUGUGAGAGGAGCCCUGCGCUGGAGGAUUGGGUGGCUCAAGGGCCCAGCAGAGCUUUCCAGCUGAUCCCAGCUCUGCGGGUGAGUCGCUGCCUCAGCUGGGCAGAGCUGUGGCUGCAGGGGGUUCUCAGCACGGGCAGGAGAGGCUGAGGAGCAGAAGGGCUGAGGAGAGGACGCCUGCAGCACUGUGCAGCUGGGAAAGGCAAGGAACAGCAAUCCUGGGAUCCUGGCUCCCACACCUCGCUCCCAGGUUUAGAACAUCAGAUGACUCUUAGCAGAUGUGAAAUGCUUCUGGAAGCCAAACAGUGGUUCUGUUGAUAUCCUUUGGACCACCCUGUUGUAAGUUGCACAUCCUCGUUAAAACAGGGAUGAAAUGGUCCCCAGGACCUGUCCCUGCUCUCUGUGGGUACUGCUGCACCAGCAAACUCCAGAGGGCCCCUGAGUGCAGAGACCUGGAGUGCAGUCAGCUCUUUGUAAGCUUCACAGAGUAGCUGAAAGAAGGCAGAGAACAAACACCACCAGUUCC